GCCGAAGUGGUGGAAUUGGUAGACACGCAGCCUUGAGGGGGCUGUGGAUUUUUAUCCGUGUCGGUUCAAGUCCGACCUUCGGCA
rnacentral:tRNA from 1 species